UAGUCUGUGACCAAUCAUGAAGGUGUCC
rnacentral:piRNA from 1 species